AGAACGAACGCUGGCGGCGUGGAUAAGACAUGCAAGUCGAACGAGAGAAUUGCUAGCUUGCUAAUAAUUCUCUAGUGGCGCACGGGUGAGUAACACGUGAGUAACCUGCCCCCGAGAGCGGGAUAGCCCUGGGAAACUGGGAUUAAUACCGCAUAGUAUCGAAAGAUUAAAGCAGCAAUGCGCUUGGGGAUGGGCUCGCGGCCUAUUAGUUAGUUGGUGAGGUAACGGCUCACCAAGGCGAUGACGGGUAGCCGGUCUGAGAGGAUGUCCGGCCACACUGGAACUGAGACACGGUCCAGACACCUACGGGUGGCAGCAGUCGAGAAUCAUUCACAAUGGGGGAAACCCUGAUGGUGCGACGCCGCGUGGGGGAAUGAAGGUCUUCGGAUUGUAAACCCCUGUCAUGUGGGAGCAAAUUAAAAAGAUAGUACCACAAGAGGAAGAGACGGCUAACUCUGUGCCAGCAGCCGCGGUAAUACAGAGGUCUCAAGCGUUGUUCGGAAUCACUGGGCGUAAAGCGUGCGUAGGCUGUUUCGUAAGUCGUGUGUGAAAGGCGCGGGCUCAACCCGCGGACGGCACAUGAUACUGCGAGACUAGAGUAAUGGAGGGGGAACCGGAAUUCUCGGUGUAGCAGUGAAAUGCGUAGAUAUCGAGAGGAACACUCGUGGCGAAGGCGGGUUCCUGGACAUUAACUGACGCUGAGGCACGAAGGCCAGGGGAGCGAAAGGGAUUAGAUACCCCUGUAGUCCUGGCAGUAAACGGUGCACGCUUGGUGUGCGGGGAAAUCACCCCCCUGCUGCCGGAACUAACCCGUUAACCGUGCCG
rnacentral:rRNA from 1 species